AACAGGAUUAGAUACCCUGGUAAUCCAUGCCGUAAACGAUGUCUACUAGCCGUUGGGGCCUUUGAGGCUUUAGUGGCGCAGCUAACGCGAUAAGUAGACCGCCUGGGGAGUACGGUCGCAAGACUAAAACUCAAAUGAAUUGACGGGGGCCCGCACAAGCGGUGGAGCAUGUGGUUUAAUUCGAUGCAACGCGAAGAACCUUACCUGGUCUUGACAUAGUAAGAACUUUCCAGAGAUGGAUUGGUGCCUUCGGGAACUUACAUACAGGUGCUGCAUGGCUGUCGUCAGCUCGUGUCGUGAGAUGUUGGGUUAAGUCCCGCAACGAGCGCAACCCUUUUCCUUAUUUGCCAGCGGGUUAAGCCGGGAACUUUAAGGAUACUGCCAGUGACAAACUGGAGGAAGGCGGGGACGACGUCAAGUCAUCAUGGCCCUUACGACCAGGGCUACACACGUGCUACAAUGGUCGGUACAAAGGGUUGCUACCUCGCGAGAGGAUGCUAAUCUCAAAAAGCCGAUCGUAGUCCGGAUCGCAGUCUGCAACUCGACUGCGUGAAGUCGGAAUCGCUAGUAAUCGCGGAUCAGAAUGCCGCGGUGUAUACGUUCCCGGGCCUUGUACACACCGCCCGUCACACCAUGGGAGUUUGUUGCACCAGAAGUAGGUAGUCUAACCGCAAGGAGGACGCUUACCACGGUGUGGCAGAUGACUGGGGUGAAGUCGUAACAAGGUAACC
rnacentral:rRNA from 1 species